rnacentral:rRNA from 1 species
UACGUAGAAGACUAGUGUUAUUCAUAUUUAAUAGGUUUAAAGGGUACCUAGACGGUAUUACUAGCCCUAAAUAGGGUACGGUAUUGCUAGAGUUUUAUAUGAGAAGGGGAGUAUUCAUGGAGUAGAGAUAAAAAUUUUUUUUGAUACCAUGAGGACUGAUAGUGGCGAAAGCAACCUUUUUAUCUGAUAACUGACGUUGAGGGACGAAGGCUUGGGUAGCAAACAAG